rnacentral:rRNA from 1 species
GCAUAUCAAUAAGCGGAGGAAAAGAAACCAACAGGGAUUGCCCUAGUAACGGCGAGUGAAGCGGCAACAGCUCAAAUUUGAAAUCUGGCUUCGGCCCGAGUUGUAAUUUGUAGAGGAAGCUUUUGGCGCGGCACCUACUGAGUCCCCUGGAACGGGGCGCCAGAGAGGGUGAGAGCCCCGUAUAGUGGGAUGCCUAGCCUCUGUAAAGCUCCUUCGACGAGUCGAGUAGUUUGGGAAUGCUGCUCAAAAUGGGAGGUAAAUUUCUUCUAAAGCUAAAUAUUGGCCAGAGACCGAUAGCGCACAAGUAGAGUGAUCGAAAGAUGAAAAGCACUUUGAAAAGAGGGUUAAACAGCACGUGAAAUUGUUGAAAGGGAAGCGCUUGUGACCAGACUUGCGCCCGGUUGAUCAUCCGGUGUUCUCACCGGUGCACUCCUCCGGGCUCAGGCCAGCAUCGGUUCUCGCGGGGGGAUAAAGGCCCAGGGAACGUAGCUCUUCCGGGAGUGUUAUAGCCCUGGGUGCAAUGCCCUCGCGGGGACCGAGGUUCGCGCAUCUGCAAGGAUG